rnacentral:rRNA from 1 species
UACGUAGGAGACGAGCGUUGUCCGGAGUUACUGGGCGUAAAGGGUGCGCAGGUGGCGGCGCGCGUGGGGGGUGAAAUCGCCCGGCUUAACUGGGCGGGGGCCUUCCAGACGGCGUGGCUUGAGCAGCGGAGGGGGACGUGGAAUUCCUGGUGUAGCGGUGAAAUGCGUAGAUAUCAGGAGGAACACCGGUGGUGUAGACGGCUUUCUGGACCAUAACUGACGCUGAGACACGAAAGCGUGGGUAGCAAACAGG